GACGAACGCUGGCGGCGUGCUUAACACAUGCAAGUCGAACGAGAAUCUAUGGAAAGAGGAUUCGUCCAAUUGAAAUAGAGGACAGUGGCGGACGGGUGAGUAACGCGUGAGGAACCUGCCUUUCAGAGGGGGACAACAGUUGGAAACGACUGCUAAUACCGCAUAACGCAUAGAGGUCGCAUGGUCUGAUGUCAAAGAUUUAUCGCUGAAAGAUGGCCUCGCGUCUGAUUAGCUAGUUGGUGAGGUAACGGCCCACCAAGGCGACGAUCAGUAGCCGGACUGAGAGGUUGAACGGCCACAUUGGGACUGAGAUACGGCCCAGACUCCUACGGGAGGCAGCAGUGGGGAAUAUUGGGCAAUGGGCGCAAGCCUGACCCAGCAACGCCGCGUGAAGGAAGAAGGCUUUCGGGUUGUAAACUUCUUUUGUCAGGGACGAGUAGAAGACGGUACCUGACGAAUAAGCCACGGCUAACUACGUG
rnacentral:rRNA from 1 species